UACGUAGGGUGCGUGCGUUAAUCGGAAUUACUGGGCGUAAAGGGUGCGCAGGCGGUUCUGUAAGUCAGAUGUGAAAUCCCCGGGCUUAACCUGGGAACUGCGUUUGAAACUACAGGACUAGAGUGUGGCAGAGGGGGGUGGAAUUCCAUGUGUAGCAGUGAAAUGCGUAGAGAUAUGGAAGAACAUCGAUGGCGAAGGCAGCCCCCUGGGCUAACACUGACGCUCAUGCACGAAAGCGUGGGGAGCAAACAGGAUUAGAUACCCUGGUAGUCCACGCCCUAAACUAUGUCAACUAGUUGUCGGGUCUUAUUAGACUUGGUAACGUAGCUAACGCGUGAAGUUGACCGCCUGGGGAGUACGGUCGCAAGAUUAAAACUCAAAGGAAUUGACGG
rnacentral:rRNA from 1 species